UAAUGAGUAGUUUAAAAAAAACGAUAGGUUGUGGUUCUAUAAAUAGGUUGUAGCACUCUCAUUAG
rnacentral:tRNA from 3 species